rnacentral:rRNA from 1 species
GAUGAACGCUAGCUACAGGCUUAACACAUGCAAGUCGAGGGGAAACGGCAUUGAGUGCUUGCACUCUUUGGACGUCGACCGGCGCACGGGUGAGUAACGCGUAUCCAACCUUCCCAUUACUGUGGGAUAACCUGCCGAAAGGCAGACUAAUACCGCAUAGUCUUCGAUGACGGCAUCAGAUUUGAAGUAAAGAUUUAUCGGUAAUGGAUGGGGAUGCGUCUGAUUAGCUUGUUGGUGGGGUAACGGCCCACCAAGGCAACGAUCAGUAGGGGUUCUGAGAGGAAGGUCCCCCACAUUGGAACUGAGACACGGUCCAAACUCCUACGGGAGGCAGCAGUGAGGAAUAUUGGUCAAUGGACGGAAGUCUGAACCAGCCAAGUAGCGUGCAGGAUGACGGCCCUAUGGGUUGUAAACUGCUUUUGUAUGGGGAUAAAGUUAGGGACGUGUCCCUAUUUGCAGGUACCAUACGAAUAAGGACCGGCUAAUUCCGUGCCAGCAGCCGCGGUAAUACGGAAGGUCCAGGCGUUAUCCGGAUUUAUUGGGUUUAAAGGGAGCGUAGGCUGGAGAUUAAGUGUGUUGUGAAAUGUAGACGCUCAACGUCUGAAUUGCAGCGCAUACUGGUUUCCUUGAGUACGCACAACGUUGGCGGAAUUCGUCGUGUAGCGGUGAAAUGCUUAGAUAUGACGAAGAACUCCGAUUGCGAAAGCAGCUGACGGGAGCGCAACUGACGCUAAGCUCGAAGGUGCGGGUAUCAAACAGG